GCUUUGACUAUGAAUGUUGCUGGCGUGGUUAAGGAUUGGUUGUUAAUUGCCUUUUCCUGGUCCGUGAUUAAGGAUACUGUCACUCCUGUCAAUUUGGUUGGAUAUGGAUUGGCUUUCUUAGGUGUGGCGUAUUACAACCACGCCAAAUUGCAGGCUCUUAAGGCGAAUGAAGCACAGAAGAAGGCUUCACAGGCUGCUGAUGAGGAGGCUGGAAGAUUGUUGGAGGAAAGAGAAGGGGAGAAUGGUGCUAAGAAGAAUGAGUCUCAGGGUUGAGUUGUUUCUUCGUUUACUUCGUAUUAUCCAUAGGUAGAAUGACAUUGAGAGAUGAAACCUGAAGAUCAGAUUAUAACGUCCUUGUGCGGAUGAUUUAGCUUCUGUUUUUUUAGGUAUAAAUCAUUUACAUUAUCUGUUUUGAGGAUCUUAUAAUAGUUUUAUUGCUCGUAUUACCUUACCAGAUCGUGCAUGUACUUGAGCAUGACUCGAGGCAAUUUAUGUUUAUUUUGACAGAACAGUAAUACUAGA
rnacentral:misc_RNA from 1 species